CCGUCAUUUCCGGGUGCGACCCCCGCUUCUGUCCGGCUGGGCGCUGGACGCGUUGGGUCCGCUCGUAACUGCAUCUGACCGUCUGCACGAACUGCCCCUUCCCUGUUCCCAGCGGGAAGGACAUGAGUGUUCCUGGGCCAACGUCCCCGGACGGGGUCCUGCCAGGGCCACCCCACGGCCGGGGGGCAGGGGAGCCGACGCCGGGUUUAAGGGACGCUUCUCCAGAUGAAGGGUUACUAGAGGACUUGACUGUAGAGGACAAAGCUGUGGAGCAGCUCGCAGAAGGAUUGCUUUCUCACUACCUGCCGGAUCUGCAGAGAUCAAAACAAGCUCUUCAGGAACUCACACAGAACCAAGUUGUAUUACUAGACACACUGGAACAGGAGAUUUCAAAAUUUAAAGAAUGUCAUUCUAUGUUGGAUAUUAAUGCUUUGUUCACUGAAGCUAAACACUAUCAUGCCAAGUUGGUGAAUAUAAGAAAAGAGAUGUUGAUGCUUCAUGAAAAGACGUCGAAGUUAAAAAAAAGAGCACUUAAGCUACAGCAGAAGAGGCAGAAAGAGGAGUUGGAAAGGGAGCAGCAACGCGAGAAGGAAUUUGAAAGAGAAAAGCAGUUAACUGCCAAACCAGCUAAGAGGACGUGAGAAGCCGAGUGCGCAUGUGUGUUCGCCCUUCCCUGCCCGUGUGGCCGGCAUCCAGGGUGACCUCAGGAAGUGGAGGAGGCCUGAGUUUCUCCAUCAGGAGAGAAGCGAGUGGGAAGACUGCACAGAACUCUAUGAUUUUCCUGCAAGGCUGUUUUAAUUCUAGGCUGACCAUGAAGCUCCACACCUCUCUGAUAGAAACAAACAAUGGAGAGACUGGAACUGGGUGAGAAGUGGCUCAGGGGCCUUGCCUUGAGAUGAUAAUGAUGCUGGAGUUGACAGAAGCCAAGCAAGCCAAGCCGCUAGGAGAAACAAACACUCCAGAGUGGCCAGGACAUUCCCAUCACGGCUGUUCUGAGACAUUUCACCACCACCACCACCUCAAGAAAGCUACCUUCGAUGUUGCCUGGCUGAGGCUGCAUUUCUGGAUCUUGAGCCUACCACUCGGCUCCAUCUCUUCUGCACCUUAAUGGCUGUGGGGGGAGAGCACAGCUAGAGUUGGAAGCCAGGUUUUCUCACUGGAGGGCGCAGCGUAAUUCGGUCUCCCUUGGGGGUCAGCAUGCAGACCUGAGGUGAGCCCUAACAGUAUCCCAGCAUCACUUAACAUAAGACACCUUGUAAUUUGUGGCUUCUGGACUGUUGUUUUCACUUAAUAAUGGCACCAGUCUCUCUGCUCAGUGCAGUGGCCGCAUCCAGGCAAACGAAUUCAUCUCGGAUGAGAUGUUGCUGGCUGUUGACCGCCUCACAGUCUGGGCCUCCACUGAGGUCCACAAAUGUACCGUACCUGUCAGACCAGGGGAGCGCAGAAGAGACAGCUCCUGAAGGAGGGCAGAUGCCCCUUUCCCGUCCUGGUAGAAAGUACAAUGGUAAGGAGAGGAGGCACACCGAGUCACCUUCCGUUUCUGAGUCCCUCCUGGCGUCCUCUUACUCUACUGACCCGCCCUCAGCUCCCCAGGAGAGGUGACAAACUGAGCAGUGGCUUGUGCCACCUUCCGAGUCAGACCUGAUAUUAAGGAUGCAGACUGGCAUUUAAAGCAGGCUGUGUCCCCUCCCCCCUAACCUUUUUUCUCUUCCCAUCGUGGCCAUGCGACUGCGCCUCACGCAGCUCUCCCGACCGGGACCCUAACGGACCUAGGGCCCCAGCUGCGGUGCUCGCAGGCCCCUGCGUUGGCACUGAGGCAGGCUCCGCACAGCUUGCGCCUAGCCAGUGGUCUGCUCCUAGGGCAGAUGGGCCUUCCCCGAAGGUCAUUGUUGGCUGCAAGACUCGCCCUUGGCAUCACUGAAGCUCUGCUCAGCAGUUUAAGAUGCUUCCCCCGCCAAACUUCCUUCCUUUUCUUCUUCAUCCCGGCAGGCUGCACAAGAAGGAAUGAAGAGGUCGAUGGAAGUGGGCAUGCGGGAAGGGCAUAUUAUGUAAGGCCAGAAGACCCACAGAGAAUAUGGCCCAGGAGAGAGCACGGGACAUGCCAUCAAGAGGGGCACCAAUGUCACUAAGAAGUUUUGCAGGCCGGGGAUGAUGGAAAUUCUGAGAAGUGACUGUAAACUGAGCAUGUUAGCAUAUGUGAAGAUCGAGGCCAGGAGGGGCACUUAACUGUCGGAAGCCCCAAGGCCAGACCUAGCCUGCUCACCAGAAGGCAGGGUUGGAGGGCAGGCAGUGAGUGGGCUUUGGCAGCAGGGGGUUGGGAUGAUGGUUAGCAGAGCAUGGUGUCGGUUUUGCGUCUGGGGGCAAAAUAAGCAGAUAGUCAACAAGGGUGCUGCUUAGCCUCUAUAACAGGAGUCAGCAGACUUUUGGUAAAGGGCUAGAUAGUAAAUAUUUUAGGUUUUGUAGGUCCCAUCAGCUGUUGUAGUACGAAAGCAGCCACAGACGCUAUGUCGAAAAUGAGUGUCGCUGUGUUUCUACAAAACUUCCUUUACGAAAACUGGUGGUUGGUUUGAUGUGGUCCGUGGGCCAUUGUUUAUUAAAAAAAAUUCAGAAUUGGAAGAGCAAGAAGCUGAGGGCCGUCACUUCAAGUCAUGAUCUCUUGCUCAGUUCCCAGACUUGAGGCAGUUUUGAGGUCUGGAAUCCACUGACUAAAGAGGCAGCUGGAGGAAGGACCCUGCAACACUCUGGCACGGACAGACCUUGACAGUCCCUCCAGUCCUUCCUCAAAGGAACCGAUGGCCAUUUACUUGGGUAAUUGUACAGUAGGACUGUUGGACAAAAGGUUCUGAGUUGACCCUGAUCCAGAGAGACCCAAAGGAGCAUCAGGGCCUCCUGUUGGAAUGGAGGAGGUCCUGCGAGGACCAGGUGAAAAAUGAGGUCGUGCAUCGAGUCCAGGUUACGAUGGGUCUGCUGGAGCCCCAGCUCCAUGCAGUGGCCAUACUGCGUCUUUUCCCACCACUGAGCCAUCUAACCCCAUGGAGGGCAGCCGGCAGGGCUGACGGCGCUGGCUUGAGCCUUUUGCAACACCUUUUCCUGCUUCAGCUCAGCUUGAAGCUGGCAGCCCUCUGUGUCACCCAGUAUAUGGGCCAGAAGAUAUCCCCGGGGUGGGAUAUGUUGCCUUUAGAACACAAAGAGGUCUGCAAGGCGCUGUACUUCCUUCUUUGUGACAGGAUGGUACGACGCAGCAGUUUGUGAUUUUGGAAGGGGAUAUCCCAGAAUACCCCCUGACGGUUAGAACUCUUAAAAAAUGUCACGGAAAUGGUCUAUUCCUGACUCUUCAUAGAGUUUUCUCCCACCCUCAAGUGCAUGCGUCUUAUCGAGGCCUGUAGGAGCAUUCUAGCCUCUCUGCUCAUCCUGUCCAGUCACUGGAUGUCAUCAGUGAGAUGGAUCAGUAUGAUACUCUCUUAGAUAUGAGAGAGGCCCAGAUCUCUCAGACUGUAUUACGACAGGAGGUGGGAGAGAGUUAACAUAACCCUGAAACAAACUGUCAGUUGAAUGUUGUCCAUUUUCCCUGCCCACUGUCUCAGCCAACACUUCUCUCUGGAGGCCUAAGUGUCUCAUCCACAGGUAUGGAAUCCCAUUUAGCAGAGUAUCCAACCAGGAGGUCUACUUCAAGUGGAGGAGGGGUAGGAGUGGGUCAUAACCAUGAGAUCCUCUGGUUCUGUCAUGUACUGCACCACCUAGAAAUAACUGGUCUCACAGACUGCUGGAGUGGCCUUCUAGAGUCACCCUGAAAUGGUGGAGCGCUGUUCUUCAGGACAUGGUGCAUUUAUUAAAUCAGAGCCCUCUAUAUGGUGCUGUGUCCUCAGUUAAGAAGGAUACAAGGCUCUGAAAACCAAGGGGUGGAAGCAGGAAUGGCCUAACUUGCCAUCAUUCUUGAUGACCCCCAGGGAAUUUGUGCUUCCUUUCCUUGCAACCCUAGACUCUUGUGUGGUUGAGGGUCCAGGCCCACCAGAGGCACAAUGAAGGCCCCAUUGAAUGAGAAGUUAUGGCUGCUGACAGGGCACUUUGGGGUUUUGUGUCAGGGAAAAGCAGGCAAGAGGGGAGUUGCCACACUAGCAGGAGUAACUGAACCUGAUCAUCAGGAGGGGGUGCUGCUUUAACACCGCGGGGCCGGGAGGAAUAUAGGUGGGACUCCAGUGAUUCAUGUGGGUAUCUCCUCUACUCCCUUGUCCCACUAUAACUGUGCCUAGAACACAUGCAGCCACCCCAGGCUUUGACUAUCAAGUGUUCAAACCCCUCAGGAAUAAAGGUUUGGGUCACACCACCAGGUAAGUCCCAAGACCUGCCAAGGUGAGAGCAGAGGCUGAAAGGGGUUUAGAAUGGAUGUUGGAGAAGGGAGAAGGUCAGUAUUCACUGUGGCCUUGGGAUCAACUGUGAUGAUCUUGGGGGACUCUAAUUCAUCCAGUGAACUCCCUCUUCUCAGUUGCUCCUCAAGAGGGAGGCCAGGAGGCCCAUGGAGGAGCUGCUUUCUGCACCUUUGUGGAGAAGAUCUAUGUGGCACAGGAGGUGGGGUGUGGAGGCAGGAGACCAUGCCUCACAGCUCUCCAACUAUAGGAACAUAACUGAACAAAGGCCUCAGCUACUUCACCCUGAAUUCCACCGCCACAUUUUUGCUAAAGUAUGCUUCCCAUGGGCUGCUCCUAGCCAAUGACUGAGCUCAGCAGGGAGAUUAAGGCAAGCCCAGGGUCCCUUGUUCAAAUUUUAUUAAGAAUUUCAAGAUGGCAACAGCAGAGCGUUAAACCAGGUGUGGGCCCUGUGUGACUACAGGUUGCAAUCUCAUUAAGCUGGCUCUGUCUGGGAGAUAGGGGUCUCCUCUAAUAGCUAACUUUGGCCUGACAGCCUUGCUGAACCUUCUUUAGACUACACAGCUGUCUAGAAAGCUUCCAUUCAACCUUUCUUUCCUCUCUUCUUCUUUUAGGGUCAGACUUGCAUCGUACUCUGAUGGUUAUCCCAACUUUCUCCAUCUCCCUCCUCAUUUUCUCCCCCAAGUUUCCCAAUAAAAUUAUUGCAUGUUUAA